UGUCUUAGUUACUGUGUAUAAUCAA
rnacentral:snRNA from 1 species